rnacentral:rRNA from 1 species
CGGUAGCUAAUACCGCAUAACGUCGCAAGACCAAAGUGGGGGACCUUCGGGCCUCAUGCCAUCAGAUGUGCCCAGAUGGGAUUAGCUAGUAGGUGGGGUAACGGCUCACCUAGGCGACGAUCCCUAGCUGGUCUGAGAGGAUGACCAGCCACACUGGAACUGAGACACGGUCCAGACUCCUACGGGAGGCAGCAGUGGGGAAUAUUGCACAAUGGGCGCAAGCCUGAUGCAGCCAUGCCGCGUGUGUGAAGAAGGCCUUCGGGUUGUAAAGCACUUUCAGCGGGGAGGAAGGCGAUAAGGUUAAUAACCUUGGCGAUUGACGUUACCCGCAGAAGAAGCACCGGCUAACUCCGUGCCAGCAGCCGCG